CACUGGUGAUAACUGCAGGGAUGUAUUUGAAAGCCACUGUACCCAUUUUUCUAGAUGAAAAUAUCUUCCCUUGAAUGGCCCAAGUGAAGGUAAAUGACUUCUAGUCUGCCCUCUCUGAAACCCAUGCCCCACUGCUCAUCAAAGAAGACUGAGGUCCUCAAAGAUGAGAAUGGCUGCCUAUUAAAGACCCUUCCAAUAGACUGCAGAAUCCCAAAGGCACAAAAAUAUUACAAGUGGGAUUACCAUAAACCAAACCUUCUGCACAGCCAGGGAAACAACCAGUGAAAAGAAAAAGCAACCAAUAGAAUGUGAGGAAAUACCUGCAAAUUAUGUAUCUGAUAAGGGACUGACAUACAAAACAUUUAAGACACUCACUCAAACCAAAAGGAAAAAGCAAACAAAAAACCACACACAAAUGGAA
rnacentral:lncRNA from 1 species